rnacentral:rRNA from 1 species
GUCUGUAUGAGGAUUUAUAAAGUCUGGCCUGCCCACUGGGAUAAAACUAAAGGGCCGCGGUAUUCUAACCGUGCGAAGGUAGCAUAGUCAUUAGUCUUUUAAUUGGAGGCUUGUAUGAAGGGUUGAACAAGAGGCAAACUGUCUCGGAGACAAAGUUUGAAAUUAACUUUUAAGUGAAAAGGCUUGAAUAUUUUAAAGGGACGAUAAGACCCUAUAAAGCUUGAUAAUUUUAUAUAUAAAUAAAUAAGUUGUUAGUGUUAUAUCAUCUAUUUAUAAAAUUAUUUCGUUGGGGCGACGAUAAUAUAAUUUGUAACUGUUUAAGAUUUAGAUUCAAAUAUAUUUGUGUUUUAAUGAUCCAUUAGUUGUUGAUUAAAAAUUUAAGUUACUUUAGGGAUAACAGCGUUAUUUAUUUUGAGAGUUCAUAUCGAUAAAAAAGUUUGCGACCUCGAUGUUGAAUUAAAAUUUCUCCAUGGUGCAGUAGUUAUGGGGA